rnacentral:lncRNA from 1 species
AAACUUUUUUUUAGAAAGGAAUAGCAUUUUCAUGCGGCACAACAUCACAAAGUAAAAAAGGCAGCGUUUGGUUAGAGGAUAGGGAUAAGAAUAGAUCCUUAUCCCUUUUUAUACCCAAACGUUAAUUUUUUAUCCGAGAAUAGUAGUUCUCGAUUAUUCCCAUCAACAUCUUUAUUUUCUAUAUAAAUCUAUCUAAAAUUGUUCUUAUCCCCGAAAACAACUCAAUUUUCAUCUAAACACUAUUUUUCUUAUCCCCAUACUUGUACCUAUCCCUGUAACAGCUAAUUCUUGCUUAUACCCGAACCAAACACUAUUUUGUAGGCUUUUAAUUUAAAUCAACAUUGA